rnacentral:rRNA from 1 species
AUUGAACGCUGGCGGCAGGCCUAACACAUGCAAGUCGGACGGUAGCACAGAGGAGCUUGCUCCUCGGGUGACGAGUGGCGGACGGGUGAGUAAUGUCUGGGGAUCUGCCCGAUAGAGGGGGAUAACCACUGGAAACGGUGGCUAAUACCGCAUAACGACGCAAGACCAAAGAGGGGGACCUUCGGGCCUCUCACUAUCGGAUGAACCCAGAUGGGAUUAGCUAGUAGGCGGGGUAAUGGCCCACCUAGGCGACGAUCCCUAGCUGGUCUGAGAGGAUGACCAGCCACACCGGAACUGAGACACGGUCCAGACUCCUACGGGAGGCAGCAGUGGGGAAUAUUGCACAAUGGGCGCAAGCCUGAUGCAGCCAUGCCGCGUGUAUGAAGAAGGCCUUCGGGUUGUAAAGUACUUUCAGCGGGGAGGAAGGCGAUGUGGUUAAUAACCUUGUCGAUUGACGUUACCCGCAGAAGAAGCACCGGCUAACUCCGUGCCAGCCGCCGCGGUAA